AGAUGUGAGGGCGAUCUGGCUGCGACAUCUGUCACCGCACUGAUCGCCAGGGUUGAUUCAGCUGAUCUGGCUGGCUGGGCGGGUGUCCCCUUCCUCCCUCUCCGCUAGCUGUGCUCCCUGUGCCCUCAGCUGCAGAAGAUGGCCUUCCCCAGUGGAGACAGGCCCGGCGUCUGCCAGGGUCAAGGAGGAGCUGCGUCCCCUGCAGAACCUCCCUUUGCUCUCAAAAUCCUGAUUCCUCUAAACACUUAAUCUUUCCAAAAUUAUUUAUCGUCAAGAGUUAAGAGUCUUCUAGUCCUU
rfam:Erinaceus europaeus unplaced genomic scaffold scaffold00569, whole genome shotgun sequence